rnacentral:tRNA from 1 species
AGCAGCGUGGCUCAGUGGAAAGAGCACAGGCUCGGGAGCCCGAUGUCACGGGUUUGAAUCCCGGCUCUGCCA